UUUUGUUGUUUUUCUUGUCUUUUUUCUUGUUCUGUGAAUGUUCAAACACAAUUAAUUUUUUUUAUCUAAACUCAAACUGCAUCUACUGUUUACAGUUUACGGCUUUCAGAACAAUCUGGCUCCCACCUCCAGCAGCGUGCUCACCACCAGCGGAGCUAACGUACAUGCUAACGUAGGAGGUACGACAGCAUGCUCGCUGACAUAAUUCCACUAAAUCUCGACACAUUUAGACAUUUUUCCACUGAGUGUUUAUUUGUCUGUAUUUACAGGUUACGGCGUUCAGAAGAACGUGUCAAACGGAGUUGGUGUCAUCAGCACUGGAGUCUCUACAAGUAAGUCCACACAGGAUUCCCUGCAGUCACUGUCUGAACAUUUUCUCAAACUUAAAUGAUUCCUGACUGUUUCUUUUGUUGCCAUCAGCCACUAGAUCCCAAACUGUCGACGACGCUUAUAAGAAAGACUAUAAGUUCCUGAUCUCUGAGAAGGAGAACGUGCCGGCCAGGAGGGACGCAGAGAUGCUCAUUUUGGCUAAAGACAGCGGGAAGCAGUUCACCAGCAGCAGCAGCGUUCAUAUAGGAGGAGGGUCGCUAUCGGGAGAUUCGAUAAAGAAAGAGAAGCUCAUUUCAAGUUACACGGAGACGAUGCCACUGAAGUCAGAGACGGGCAACUCUUACUGUGAGUGCACGCUUUAAAACACCUCUAAGAAUAAAAAACAAAGUAUUGUGAUUUUUUGAAUGACUUCUGUUUAUUUAUCCCUUCAAUAGAUGGAUCAUCUGGAGUUGUGAUGAAAGACAAAGCCACCUACGCAGGUAUUUUUGACUGAAUAUAUUCUGAUAUUUACAUAACAAGCAUUUUAGUUUUUUGAAAGUGAUGAUUUCACUCUUUUCUCCGUCUUCAGAGAUUCACAGAGACAGCGGCGCCUUCGGAGGUGGAGGACUGUGCUGCUGCUCCGACUCCUGCUGCUCCUGGUGGAAGUGGCUGCUGGGUCUUCUCCUCCUCUCCCUGCUCCUGCUCGGACUCCUGUUUGGGCUCAUUGCACUGGCUGAGGAUGUGAGAAAGCUGAAGAAUCGCGUGGCGACCCUGGAGACCAAGUCCUCCGUCGCUGCUGCUCGUACCGGUCGGCUGGCAGGUUCUGACAAUGACAUCUAUAUGGCCGGUGGAGCUGCUGGAGGAGGUGGACACACUGACAACACGCUACACCUGGGAGCUGGAGGAGGAGGAGGAGGAGGAGACUCCAAAACACGAAUCGCAAUUGCCACUGGGGCAGGUGGUGCAGGUGGCACCGGUAGCAAUGGCAUCGAUGUCAGCAUGGCUGCUGGUGCUGGUGGUGCUGGUGCUGGUACCGCUGGCGCUGGUGGGUCUACUGGGGCCAGAGCUGGAGGUGCUGGCACAGGCAGUGACACCAGUUACAGUGGAACCAGUUACAGUAGCACCAGUUACAGUGAUACCAGUUACAGUGGCAGUGCCGGUAGUGCUGGUGGUACUGGACACAGUGGUGGUGGUGGUUCUGGACACAGGGGCGGUGCCGGCAGUGCUGGAACCAGUUACAGUGGCAGCGUUGGCAGCGCUGGUGGUACCACAGGAUUGGGUGUGAGUGGAGGACACACUGACGCUUCUCUUCAGCUGAUGAUCCAACACAUGUUAAGAAAUGAAAUGCAGUCACAAGCAUUCAGAGGUACUAAUACACACACACACACACACGCGCGCGCGCGCGCGCACACACACACACACAUGCACACACACACACACACACACACACACACACGCACACACACACUACAUUUUCUGAUCUGUUGUUUUCUGUUUCAGCCUUCUUGACAUCCUCAGUGCAGGGAGAGAGAGGGCUGCCUGGACCUAAAGGUGAACUUUAUAGAUUAUUUGUUUCAUAAAAUCUGAACAUUUAAACAUUUUAUUUUAAAGAUAAAAUGAUUUAUAUUUGAUUUAUUAAUUUAUGUUUAUCUCUUUGUUCUUUCAGGGGACACUGGAGCUAAAGGUUUGGAUUUCUCACUCGCGAUUCUGUUGAUCUGCUUUAUUUCUUGAUGUUUGUUUUCUCAUUAUAAUCAAAUGUUUACUUGUCACAGGUGACGCUGGGUUCCCUGGACUUCCAGGUGAGGAAUGAUGAUUGUCAUAACUCAUGAGUCAUUAACAGUGUUUUACAUCUACUCAGGACUAUUAUGUGGCGUCAUGAUGUAAUUUUACUGUGACCUUUGACCUCAGGUGCUCCUGGUGCGAUGGGACCUUCAGGCCAUGAAGGUCCUAAAGGACAGAAAGGAAGCCAAGGUAGAGAAAGUUCAAACUACAUGAUGCAAGUUCACUGUUUGGUGUUUUUAGAUUGAGGUAUUUUAAAUGAAUGUAAAAUGUCUGAUCAGGUGAUCAUGGAGUGGACGGACAGCCUGGUAUCAGAGGUCGUGAAGGCCCAGCUGGCCCCAGAGGUGAGCCGGGACCUUCAGGCGUUGGACCAAAGGGUGACAGAGGUACGUAUCACAUCCCCGGCAGAACAUUUGUGUUUAUUAGUGAUAUUAAUAACUUCUAGUACUUCUAGUUCUGUCGCUGAAGGAUCUCGUGUUUGGUUUAUGCAGGUUCUACUGGUGAUCCGGGGGUUCCUGGGCCUGUGGGACCUGUCGGACUGAAAGGUAAGAUCAUUGUACUUCUUGUCCUUCACUUUGAGUUUUUUCAUGUUUAAAUAGAUAAUGACAAAAACAGGUACUUGUUUAGUGUUUUGACAUCAAAAUACCAAAGUUUGACUUGUCAGUGGAACAGUUUAUGACCUCAUGCAUGAACUAUAAGAAGCAAAAAGGGAAAGAACCUGCUAUUUUAUUGCAAUUUCUAAGAUAAUACAACUUCAGAAUUUUUUUUUGUAUGUCCCAGUAAGUAUUUUCUGUAAAUGUUUUAUUUCAAUGUUUUUAUUUUUUGUCUUUAGGCUGUUAUAAUGUUCUUGUUAAAAAGCAGUUCUCCUUUCUAAUUAUUACUUAUCUUUGCUCAAGGUUCACCUGGAAAUCCUGGACUUCCUGGAGCACCAGGUCAGUUAAUUUCUGCUUGAUUUCACUCAUGUGGAGCGUUAUAGCGGUUCCAGAAACACCUGCUAUUAUCUUGAAUUCACCAUCAGCUGCUUAUAAAAGAGAUUAAGUCAGAGAUAAGAGUGUUUUUUUAUUUUACAUGAUGUGUUUUGUUAUAGGUCAACCAGGUCCUCAAGGUUUCCGUGGCGAGGCAGGGUUACCUGGAGCUAAAGGUAGAUUAUGUGGUCAUUAUUAGGCUGUAAAGUGAAACGCAUCGUUGAUUUGCUUUAUUUUGUGCACCAUAAAGUUUCUCACAGUCGUUCUUCUCACUCUGCAGGUGACAGAGGGCUGGCUGGAUUCCAAGGAGCUAAAGGUUUGUUGUAACUGAAUCAGGUUUUUCUCUGACUUGUGAGGUCGGUGAAUGUUUUAACUGUAGUGUAAUUCAUGUUUAUUCUAGGUGAUCCUGGUCAUGAUGGUGUCAGAGGUAUUAAAGGUCAGUACAGCUCUGUGCAUUUAACCAAAGUAUCUGAAGCUGUCAAACUGGCAUGUUAUAUACUGAGUGCUGUUUUCUAAUCCAGUCAUCUUGUUCCUCAGGUGAAGCCGGAGCACCAGGUCUGCCAGGGCUCGCUGGAGAGAAAGGAUCCAAAGGGUCGAUCGGUGAGUCUGAGUCUCGUCUUCUAAACUCUAAAAGUUCAAUAUUGAUAUGAAGCUACAGCCAGCAGCUGAUUAGCUUAACACAGAGACUGAAAGCUGGGGGGAAGAGUUAGCCUGGUUUUGGCGAAAUGUAGCUCGAAUACACGUUAAAAAUGUUGUAGAAUCAUUUUAAUCAUGUAAUUCCUUUUAAGUCUGUACUUGACUUUUACUUAUUUGAGUUUUCUUUCAGAAAUGUAUUGUAAAUGUUUUGUAAAAAUUAACACAGAAAAGUCAAACUGAUUUGAAGAACAAGC
ensembl:lncRNA